rnacentral:tmRNA from 1 species
GGGGAUGAUAGGCUUCGACGGAGGAGGCUGAACCCGGACUGCGAGCUGAGAGGUACCGACCUCAUAAAAUCAGUACAAACAACAAGUGCCAAACGCACAAAUUAUGCAACUCUUCCUUUAGCUGCGUAAGCAGUUGAACAGAGUUCAUGGUCUCUAGCUAGACCACGUCUGCCCAUCCUGUUCUCCGGUCAGAGAUGGAGCAGGCGUCACAAGACCGGAGUGCCGCCUGUUUGUGCCGCGCUCCAGGCGUAAGCGGACUCUAGGGUCCAAGUGGCUGGUUGCAGAUCUGGUUGGGUGAUUGCCCUGUCUGCAAUGAGAUGAACAAUCACCUACGCUCGUAGAUGUUCGAGGCUCUAUUCUUUCGGACGCGGGUUCGAUUCCCGCCAUCUCCACUG